ACGCUCGACACCUACGGGAGGCAGCAGUCGGGAAUAUUGCGCAAUGGAGGAAACUCUGACGCAGUGACGCCGCGUGCAGGAAGAAGGUUUUCGGAUUGUAAACUGCUUUAGACAGGGAAGAACAAAUGACAGUACCUGUAGAAUAAGCUCCGGCUAACUACGUGCCACAGCCGCGGUAAUCUGAGCGGGCUGGCAAGGC
rnacentral:rRNA from 1 species